GACAGAGGCCUCGAGCGUUAGGCGGAAUCACUGGGCUUAAAGCGUGUGUAGGCGGAUCUCUAAGUACCUUGUGAAAUCCCACGGCUCACCCGUGGAACCGCUGGGUAUACUGGGGAUCUUGGGCCACUCAGGGGCGACUGGAACAAGCGGUGGAGCGGUGAAAUGCGUAGAUAUCGCUUGGAACGCCGAAGGUGAAAACAGGUCUCUGGGGUAGUGCCGCCGCUGAGACACGAAAGCCAGGGGAGCAAACGGG
rnacentral:rRNA from 1 species